UAAAAUGAUGUUCGAUCCACCGUUCUUCUUCUCAAAUUAGCUUCUUUUUUUCUAAUCUGUCGUCCUGGGUUUUUGGGAAUCUCAUUUUGGAUACGGUCAAGAUCCGAUCGUGGUUUCGAUGAUCCGACUUUAAUGUUUUCAUGCUAUAGGAAAAGAAGAUACUAAGAGAGCCACGUCAUCUCAGCCACGUCAGCAAGAGGAAGCAAUUAUAUAGCUUGAGAAAACAGAAGUUAGGAUCAUCGAAAAAAUAUCAAGAAAGUUUGUUAUCUUCUUCGCAUCUUCUCUGGUUUGUUUCUCUGUGAUUUUCCUAGAAAAUCACCAUGGAUUCCUCAUCCUUGCUUUUGAGUUGUUUCUACAUGUAAACUCUUGGCAGGAGAGAGAGCGAUUCUUUGUGUAAUACAUUGGAUCGAAUCAUACGAGUUACUGUUCUUCUUCUACUUUCCCUGUUACGUUUUACUGUAUCAAAGGUAUCAGAGCCAGUCGAACCUCGGAAUCAAUGGCAGGCGUUGAGUUCCAAGUCUUCGAAGGUGUUUCCUGCGAUUUGCGUCCUUGGAUUUCAAAGUUGGAAGAUCAAUUUGCUUGUGAUGACUACUCGGAUAUGAACAAAUUAGCGUUAGCUGUGUAUCUUCUUGGAGGUAAAGCAGAAUCUUUUGUUCAUCAACGAGAAGAAAUCAAGUAUUUUGAAACUUGGGACGAACUAAAGAGUAGCUUGAUACGUAUGUUUGGUGAACGAGAUGAUCCGGAACGGAUCAGAUUGCAGACGGAGAGGGACGUAUCAACGCAUAAUUGGUUAGUGGCACUUAAGGUCAGGAAGGCCGAUGUGAUUCAAGAGAUGACGAUGCCUAAUCCUGCUGUUUCAGAGUCGCAAGUUCAGUCCUUAUCAGUUUCAGCGAUUCACAUACGAGAUGAAAGUGAUUUAACUACCAAGAUGGAGUCGACUGGUUUGACUCUUGAUGUAGAUGUGAAUUCAGAGGAUCCAGAGCAGAUUGAAUCGCUAGUAAACGAGGUACCAAUUUCUCUUUUGGAACCAUGCCAUAGGAUAGGAAGAUUGGAAUAUGUGUUUCUUGAGAACAAAAGCUUGCAAUUACAUGGAGAUUUUGACAAACUGAGAGUUGAUGAGUGGAAAUCUCCAAGGGUAGAACACACAUACGUUUUGGAUGUUGACAUGGGGGAAGAAUUGAUUCAAAAAUCAGCAGAUGCUGAGGCUGAGCUAGUUGCACACCACUUGUUUGAUCUUUUGCUUCAAAGGGUUGGUUGUAAAAGGAAGCAACCGAGGUGUCACAAGAACUGGAAAUUUAAGUAUAAAAUGGAGGACCUAGGGAGAUUCCUGCCACAAAAUGAUCAUUAUACAUCUAUGAGAGUAAAGCACCAAACCUCCAACAGUCUAUGUGCUAGUGAUCAUGUGGGAUCAUUGGAGAAAAUGAGCACUUGUGGUCGUUGGAGAAGUCAACAACAGUCAUGGUUCUUCAGUUCUGAAGCUCACGUUGAGAAAAAGAUAGUACCCUUCUCAGACUUGGGGAAGAAUCUCGUUCAGUACCAGUCUGAUCCUACAUGUCCCUAUCCACCUAUCCUCAUUGAUACGGUGAUGGUUAAAGUGGCAGAGAGUUUAGCUCACUGGAGUAAACAGAAGUGCUCAUGGUUGUUGUUCAAACUGAGAUUGAUGUUUCCUUUACAAUGUGAAAAACUCAAGGCUGCUUGGGAAGAGGAAUCAGGUACUAAGCAGAGCUACAGGGGAAAUGAGAGUGAGCUUCUUCUCUUCGGAAACUCAAUAAUACCGGUGAGAUGGUUUUGUCAAAAAGGAGAUUAUCGGAUGGUUGGAGACCAUAUCUACAAUGAAGAAGUUGUUGUUAGUGUUGUGACUGUAAUGACAGAAACUUCAGUUCCAAUGAUCGUGAUCAUGGCAAGGGAUGACAACACGUUUGAUGCAGAACAGCCAAUACUCAACAAGACAGUGGUGUUACGAACUGACCACACACACUUAUAUCUGGAGCAAAUAAUUCUGGAUUGUCGAAGCAAGUGCCUCAGGUUACAUGAUGGUAACUGGGAGAGACGGUUCUGCAAGAACUGGAUGUUUAAGUUCAAAGUUAUUGCAACAUUACGAAACAACAACACGAGACCUGUUACGCAACCUGUUUGCACACGAGGCUGAUACACUGGAGAUACAGGAGAAGAACUUUCAUGUUGCUGGCCUUACUAUCACUGGCCAGUAGAGCACUUAAAGAACUAGACAACAGACGUACCAAUGGCCAGAGUAGUGUCAAAUCUUCAUUUCUGCUGCAAUUGUGGACACGAGUUGUUGGUUCUUCAAAACCUUGUGGUCAAGGUUUUCUCAAAGAGGGAGGAUUUGCUAUAGGAAAAGAAGAUACUAAGAGAGCCACGUCAUCUCAGCCACGUCAGCAAGAGGAAGCAAUUAUAUAGCUUGAGAAAACAGAAGUUAGGAUCAUCGAAAAAAUAUCAAGAAAGUUUGUUAUCUUCUUCGCAUCUUCUCUGGUUUGUUUCUCUGUGAUUUUCCUAGAAAAUCACCAUGGAUUCCUCAUCCUUGCUUUUGAGUUGUUUCUACAUGUAAACUCUUGGCAGGAGAGAGAGCGAUUCUUUGUGUAAUACAUUGGAUCGAAUCAUACGAGUUACUGUUCUUCUUCUACUUUCCCUGUUACGUUUUACUGUAUCAUUUCAACCUCAUUAAUUUGAUUGAUUUUCCCAAGCGUCUGAUUACUAGAGAUCUCUGUUGGAUUGGAUCUGGUAGCUCUUCGAUUAUAGAUAGGGUUUGGAAGGAAGAGCAUAGAGAUAUAUAAUGCGGCUGAGCUCCGAGC
rnacentral:lncRNA from 1 species